rnacentral:rRNA from 1 species
AAUAGCCUAACGGCUGAACCAGCAACUUGGAAGAAUGUAUAGCAACAGCUAAUUGUAUAAUAUUAUGCAAUAUCGACUACGUUGAAUAAAGUUCUGAGUAAAUCUAGAUAAUGACUUAUUUUACUCACGUGUCUUGACUAAAGUACGUGCCAGCAGUCGCGGUAAGACGUAGAAGACUAGUGUUAUUCAUCUUGAGUAGGUUUAAAGGGUACUUAGACGGCAGAUCAAGCCUAAGCAGGGACUAAUCUGCUAGAGUUACUUGUGAUGGGGCUUGAAAGUACUAAUGGAGUAGAGAUAAAAUGCUAACAUACCUUUUUUCGUAAGAAAUAGAAUGGCACUGGUAAAGGCGAAAGCAUCCCCUUAUGUGAUAACUGACGUUAAAGGACGAAGGCUUUGGGUCGCGAACAGGAUUAGAUACCCUGGUAGUCAAAGCAGAGAAUGAUGAGUGUCAUAGAUUGGAAUAAGUUUAAUCUAUAAAUGAAAGUGCAAGCACUCCACCUUAAGAGUAAUGUGGCAACACCGAAAUUGAAAUCAUUAGACCGUUUCUGAAACCAGUAGUGAAGUAUGUUGUUUAAUUUGAUGACCCGCAAAAAACCUUACCACAACUUGAAUAUUUAUAGUUAGCUAUAUUUACAAGCGUUGCACGGCUGUCUUAAGUUAAUGUCGUGAGACUUUGGUUAGAUCCAUUAAAUUGACGUAAACCCUCGUUCUACUUUUAUGUAAAACGGUUCACCGCUAUAUUGGAUGUGAUAACAGGGAACAAGACAAGUCAUCAUGGCCUAAAUGUUGUGGGCUAUAGACGUGCUGCUCAAUCCAUUACAAAGGGAUGUGAAAUUGUGAAAUUAAACUAAUCCUUAAAACUGGAGGAAUU